rnacentral:lncRNA from 1 species
AUAUACUAUGUCAACAUAACUUCCUCUUCAAGAUGUAGUAAUAAAUUGUUGUCUCCUGGCCUUUUCAAGACCACCUCAUCCCUGCCUCAGUCCUGUUUUACUGGUGGGGUUUAUGGACUUGUGCUCUACACUCGCUUUCAUCUUCAGUUCUGGCAGUUGCCUUGGCUGUACUGAACCCUGUGCCAUGGUUGAUCCUGACAUUGAACUGAUCUGUGAAAUUUUGUUGGUUGUUGAAAGGUUUAUUGAUAUGUGCUUAUUUGACAGCAAGUUUAGCACCUUGUAUACUCUCUGCAGGGAACUGUUCUCUAAACAGAGUGCACCUUGACAUCUUAAACUUCAGACAAGUAAAUGCCCAGCCUGCGAGAACAGGAAGGAGACAUGUUGCAUCUGUGCUGGAAGAACAGUGUGUGACCUCCUCCUGAAAUCCAUCCGUCCAGAGGAGUCAGCACCUUGUCUUUGUAAAUGAUGUCUAUGAGUGUGAGAUUGUCACUGGAGGAACCAAGGUGGAAAUGGAUCCAAAAGUUCAUGACAUCCUAUUCUCAAAGUAUCGUACUGGAGGUUUUACUUCUGGUGCAAAUUUUGCCAUGUAAAAAUAGAUGGGAUAUUAAAAAUUAGAUAUACACAUUUAACUUUUUUAUGCUUCUGACACUGACCUAAAAACACUGCAAGGCUACAGCGUAAACAGGGAACAAAAAGGUGCCACUUUAAAUAUACUGUUUUCUUAUACAUUACCACCUGGUUUAUUUUCCUGUGCUAACACAAUCCAUUAAAAUAUUUUCCAAGAACCACUGUGACUGGGGACUUCAUGCUAUCAAGUCAGUUCUGGUAGCUGCUGGCUUACUGAAAUGUAGAAAGAACAGACCUGAGGACCAGGUACAACCUUCAUUUACAAGCAGGAGUAAGAGUUGAUCCUGGUGUUCUGUCUGAAUAAAAACAGAAUCCUAAAAAGAGAAGGGUUUAAU